GCACUAAGCGUUGACUGAAGAAUAUGAAGAUGGAUACCCCUGGGUAAAUUUUUGUGACCAGUAUUCGUCGGGCAAGUGGGCCCAGGUGGGCCUGGGAGCGUAGGAGGGUUCUGCUCUAUCGACUCUACCUAACAGGCUCGCACCGACAUUCGUAGCAGCCAAAGUAGUGUCGGUAUGAAAGCUUAAGGUUGAGUCAGUACAAAGUAGAGAUAGAACGAAACUUCUCGAAAGUUCAAGUCUAUUUUGACACACAAUUGAAAGGUACGAGCAACAAUUUGUAUCAUCCAACUGUCGCAGAACGGCAGCGUUAUUAGCUGACCCGUUAACUGAAGAAUGCAUCUUUAAUCAACGGCUGCCCAUCGAAGGGCCCAGCCGCUUGAGUCUGGAAUCGGCAGGAAAGAUAAAGUAUAACCCGAGGUGGAUAGCGGUGGUCGUUUGAGGUGGUUGGCGG
rnacentral:lncRNA from 1 species